AUUGAACGCUGGCGGCAUGCCUUACACAUGCAAGUCGAACGGCAGCACGGGUGCUUGCACCUGGUGGCGAGUGGCGAACGGGUGAGUAAUAUAUCGGAACGUACCUUAUUGUGGGGGAUAACGCAGCGAAAGCUGUGCUAAUACCGCAUAAUCCCUAAGGGGGAAAGCGGGGGACCGUAAGGCCUCGCGCAAUUAGAGCGGCCGAUACCUGAUUAGCUAGUUGGUGAGGUAAAGGCUCACCAAGGCAACGAUCAGUAGCCGGUCUGAGAGGACGAGCAGCCACACUGGGACGGAGGCACGGCCCAGACUCCGACGGGAGGCAGCAGUGGGGAGUUUUGGAAAAUGGGGGCAACCCUGAUCCAGCAAUGCCGCGUGAGUGAAGAAGGCCUUCGGGUUGUAAAGCUCUUUUGUCAGGGAAGAAACAGCAGCUCUAACACAGUUUGCGAAUGACGGUACCUGAAGAAUAAGCACCGGCUAACUACGUGCCAGCCGCCGCGGUAA
rnacentral:rRNA from 1 species